UACGUAGGGGGCAAGCGUUGUCCGGAUUUAUUGGGCGUAAAGCGCACGCAGGCGGUCUUUCGCGUUCCCCGUGACAGGUGGGGGCUUAACUCCCACAGGGCUGAGAAAACGGGAAGACUUGAGGACGAGAGAGGGAUGCGGAAUUCCAGGUGGAGCGGUGAAAUGCGCAGAUAUCAGGAGGAACACCAAUGGCGAAGGCAGCUCACUACACGAAUAUUGACACUGAGGCACGAAAGCGUGGGGAUCAAACAGG
rnacentral:rRNA from 1 species